rnacentral:rRNA from 1 species
GACGAACGCUGGCGGCGUGCUUAACACAUGCAAGUCGAACGAAGUGGCGAACGGGUGAGUAACGCGUAAUCAACCUGCCCUUCAGAGGGGGACAACAGUUGGAAACGACUGCUAAUACCGCAUACUGAAGGAGGGGAUUGCGUCGGAUGUGCUAGUUGGAGGGGUAACGGCCCCCCAAGGCGAGGAUCAGUAGCCGGUCUGUGAGGAUGAACGGCCACAGUGGGACUUGUACACGGCCCAGACUCCUACGGGAGGCGGCAGUGGGGAAUCUUCCGCAAUGGACGAAAGGCUGACGGAGCAACGCCGCGUGAGUGAUGACGGCCUUCGGGUUGUAAAGCUCUGUUAAUCGGGACGCGGUACCGGAAUAGAAAGCCACGGCUAACUACGUGCCAGCCGCCGCGGUAAUAC